rnacentral:pre_miRNA from 1 species
AGCUUUUUGAAUCUCUGCUGAGAUCUUGUCAGACACCAACACAUUAGGGCUAAUCAGACUUCCAAGAUAAGUGAAGUU